rnacentral:rRNA from 1 species
CGCGGCGGCAUGCUUACACUGCAAGUCGAACGGCAGCACGGGUGCUUGCACUGGUGGCGAAUGGCGAACGGGUGAGUAAUACAUCGGAACAUGUCCUGUAGUGGGGGAUAGCCCGGCGAAAGCCGGAUUAAUACCGCAUACGAUCUAUGGAUGAAAGCGGGGGACUUCGGGCCUCGCGCUAUAGGGUUGGCCGAUGGCUGAUAGCUAGUUGGUGGGGUAAAGGCCUACCAAGGCGACGAUCAGUAGCUGGUCUGAGAGGACGACCAGCCACACUGGGACUGAGACACGGCCCAGACUCCUACGGGAGGCAGCAGUGGGGAAUUUUGGACAAUGGGCGAAAGCCUGAUCCAGCAAUGCCGCGUGUGUGAAGAAGGCCUUCGGGUUGUAAAGCACUUUUGUCCGGAAAGAAAUCCUUGGCUCUAAUACAGUCGGGGGAUGACGGUACCGGAAGAAUAAGCACCGGCUAACUACGUGCCAGCAGCCGCGGUAAUACGUAGGGUGCAAGCGUUAAUCGGAAUUACUGGGCGUAAAGCGUGCGCAGGCGGUUUGCUAAGACCGAUGUGAAAUCCCCGGGCUCAACCUGGGAACUGCAUUGGUGACUGGCAGGCUAGAGUAUGGCAGAGGGGGGUAGAAUUCCACGUGUAGCAGUGAAAUGCGUAGAGAUGUGGAGGAAUACCGAUGGCGAAGGCAGCCCCCUGGGCCAAUACUGACGCUCAUGCACGAAAGCGUGGGGAGCAAACAGGAUUAGAUACCCUGGUAGUCCACGCCCUAAACGAUGUCAACUAGUUGUUGGGGAUUCAUUUCCUUAGUAACGUAGCUAACGCGUGAAGUUGACCGCCUGGGGAGUACGGUCGCAAGAUUAAAACUCAAAGGAAUUGACGGGGACCCGCACAAGCGGUGGAUGAUGUGGAUUAAUUCGAUGCAACGCGAAAAACCUUACCUACCCUUGACAUGGUCGGAAUCCUGAAGAGAUUCGGGAGUGCUCGAAAGAGAACCGGCG